GGGGAAUUUUGCGCAAUGGGGGAAACCCUGACGCAGCAACGCCGCGUGGAGGAUGACGCAUUUCGGUGUGUAAACUCCUUUUCUACAAGAAGAAUACUGACGGUAUUGUAGGAAUAAGCACCGGCUAACUCCGUGCCAGCAGCCGCGGUAAUACGGGGGGUGCAAGCGUUACUCGGAAUCACUGGGCGUAAAGGGAGCGUAGGCGUCUGGGUUAGUCUUCUGUGAAAUCCAUCGGCUCAACCGGUGAACUGCAGGAGAAACUGCCUAGAUAGAGUAUGGAAGAGGUCAGUGGAAUAGGUGGUGUAGGGGUAAAAUCCGUAGAGAUCACCUGGAAUACCAACGGCGAAGGCAACUGACUGGGACAUUACUGACGCUGAGGCUCGAAAGCGUGGGGAGCAAAC
rnacentral:rRNA from 1 species